rnacentral:rRNA from 1 species
GAUGAACGCUAGCGGCAGGCUUAACACAUGCAAGUCGAGGGGUAACAGGGGAAAGCUUGCUUUUUUGCUGACGACCGGCGCACGGGUGAGUAACGCGUAUAGAACCUACCUUUUACAGGGGAAUAGCCCAGAGAAAUUUGGAUUAAUACCCUAUAGUAUUAUUGAGUGGCAUCAUUUAAUAAUUAAACAUUUAUGGGUAAAAGAUGGCUAUGCGUUCUAUUAGCUAGAUGGUAAGGUAACGGCUUACCAUGGCAACGAUAGAUAGGGGUCCUGAGAGGGAGAUCCCCCACACUGGUACUGAGACACGGACCAGACUCCUACGGGAGGCAGCAGUGAGGAAUAUUGGACAAUGGAGGCAACUCUGAUCCAGCCAUGCCGCGUGCAGGAAGACGGCCCUAUGGGUUGUAAACUGCUUUUAUACGGGAAGAAACCCAACUACGUGUAGUUGGUUGACGGUACCGUAAGAAUAAGCACCGGCUAACUCCGUGCCAGCAGCCGCGGUAAUACGGAGGGUGCAAGCGUUAUCCGGAAUCAUUGGGUUUAAAGGGUCCGUAGGCGGGCUAAUAAGUCAGGGGUGAAAUCCAAACAGCUUAACUGUUGAACUGCCUUUGAUACUGUUAGUCUUGAAUUAUAUGGAAGUAGAUAGAAUGUGUAGUGUAGCGGUGAAAUGCUUAGAGAUUACACAGAAUACCGAUUGCGAAGGCAGUCUACUACGUAUA